rnacentral:snoRNA from 1 species
AUCCUUUUGUAGUUCAUAAGCGUGAUGAUUGGGUUUUCAUGCUCAUGUGUGAGAUGUGCCUCCCUCAAACCUUGUUAUAACGUUGGCACAUUACCCGUCUGACG